AUUGAACGCUGGCGGCAUGCCUUACACAUGCAAGUCGAACGGCAGCAUGAUCUAGCUUGCUAGAUUGAUGGCGAGUGGCGAACGGGUGAGUAAUACAUCGAAACGUGCCCUGUAGUGGGGGAUAACUAGUCGAAAGAUUAGCUAAUACCGCAUACGACCUGAGGGUGAAAGUGGGGGACCGCAAGGCCUCAUGCUAUAGGAGCGGCCGAUGUCUGAUUAGCUAGUUGGUGAGGUAAAGGCUCACCAAGGCGAUGAUCAGUAGCUGGUCUGAGAGGACGAUCAGCCACACUGGGACUGAGACACGGCCCAGACUCCUACGGGAGGCAGCAGUGGGGAAUUUUGGACAAUGGGGGCAACCCUGAUCCAGCAAUGCCGCGUGUGUGAAGAAGGCCUUCGGGUUGUAAAGCACUUUUGUCCGGAAAGAAAUCGCACUUACUAAUAUUAGGUGUGGAUGACGGUACCGGAAGAAUAAGGACCGGCUAACUACGUGCCAGCCGCCGCGGUAAAAC
rnacentral:rRNA from 1 species